rnacentral:lncRNA from 1 species
GCAUGGGUCUUUUGAUUCUUGAAGAUUUAGCUUUCCUCCUAACUUAGCUUCGAUAGUCCCGAAAACAUAAAAAAAAAUAAACUAAAAUUAAAAAGAUAUCAAAAUACAAAAGCUAGAUUACCUUCCAAUAAGUACUAAGUUUAAAGUCUCCAGUCAGACUUCAAAACUCUUUCACGGUGGUUCGUAUAGGAUCAUGGCCUCCCCUAUUUC